rnacentral:sRNA from 1 species
CCAAUAGCGUAUAUUAAAGUUGUUGUGGUUAAAAAGCUCGUAGUUGAACCUUGGGCCUGGCUGGCCGGUCCGCCUCACCGCGUGUACUGGUCCGGCCGGGCCUUUCCCUCUGUGGAACCCCAUGCCCUUCACUGGGCGUGGCGGGGAAACAGGACUUUUACUGUGAAAAAAUUAGAGUGCUCCAGGCAGGCCUAUGCUCGAAUACAUUAGCAUGGAAUAAUAGAAUAGGACGUGUGGUUCUAUUUUGUUGGUUUCUAGGACCGCCGUAAUGAUUAAUAGGGACAGUCGGGGGCAUCAGUAUUCAAUUGUCAGAGGUGAAAUUCUUGGAUUUAUUGAAGACUAACUACUGCGAAAGCAUUUGCCAAGGAUGUUUUCAUUAAUCAGGAACGAAAGUUAGGGGAUCGAAGACGAUCAGAUACCGUCGUAGUCUUAACCAUAAACUAUGCCGACUAGGGAUCGGACGGUGUUAUUUUUUGACCCGUUCGGCACCUUACG